GGGCCUGUAGCUCAGUUGGUUAGAGCACCACUCUUAUAAAGUGGGGGUCAUGGGUUCAAGUCCCAUCAGGCCUACCA
rnacentral:tRNA from 4 species